rnacentral:rRNA from 1 species
AUCUGGGCGGCGGAAUUCAGGAUGACGGGCGUGCCUUGCGGCGCGUCGGUCGUUUGAUAUUUCCGUCGCCGAUCACCCUCAGACGUCGCGACCUGUUCGCGGUCGGUCCCUGCUCGGAGGAGCCGCGUUCGAGUUCGUUGUGUACGCGUUUCGGCGCGUCACACGGCGAAGGCGCGGAUCUCUGGCUGGCCGUCGGACAGUACGCUUACGGUGUCCGGUGCCGUCACGCGCGCGCACCGGUACCGGUCAGCGACGAAUUCUUCGGGCCUCUUUCCGACCCGUCUUGAAACACGGACCAAGGAGUCUAACAUGCGCGCGAGUCGCGGGGUGUCGAGCGUACUUCGGUGCGUUCGUUACGUUGCGAAACCCGUACAUGUCGAAGGCGUAAUGAAAGUGAAUGGGGAAGAUGGUGUUCCGAGUACACGUUCCGCGAUCGUCGGUAUCGCGGCCGGACACCCGCAUUCCCGGGGCGUCUCAACGGCCCGUCGCUGAUGCGGACAGUCGUCUCUUGGGGCGGCUGUCGGUCGGCGACGAACCGA